GGGAACAGAUCAGGAAUGCAGGUCAGAAAUCCUGUAAAAAAUUAACAAGACGACAACAGAAUGGAGAAUAAAGAGAAAAGCAAUGGUGAGAUUAAAGAAAAACAGCCAGCGAAAAAGAAAGCGGUGCAGUUGCCCUGAAAUUGUUUUUCCCCCUCCGUGGUCCACCAAGGGCACCCACUUAAAGGUUUCUAGCUCCCAGCUAUGACCUGUCCUGCACAGAGACCCAUGUC